AUGCUGCUGGCCUGCUUGCAGGGCAUGUGUGUGGAGGUGUGGGGGGCUGGCAUGCACGGUGGUGUAGGCGAGGCUGGGAAGCCUGCAUUCCUUGGCUGUGACCUUCGCACUCUUAGAAGCCAUUCGCGGUCUGGGGAGCGCUAUCGGCGGAGCGGCAGAGCAGGGAGACACUGGAGCAGCAGUCGAAGCAGCCGGAGUCCCAGCGAUUCGCGAAGCCGCAGCAGAUCGGCUUCUCCAGCAAGAGAGAAAGUGCUGAGGCCUGCAGCUUCCCCAGCCGUGGGGGAGAAACUGAAAAAGGCUGACGCUGCUGCUGGUAAAGAGACAGGAGCUGCCAAAGUCACCAAAGCUGACUCCACAGGAGAAACUGAAGUUGCGGAUGCAGAAGGCUCUCAACAGGCAGUUCAAAGCCGACAAAAAGGCAGCGCAAGAGAAGAUGAUGCAGCAGGAGCAUGA
rnacentral:lncRNA from 1 species